rnacentral:rRNA from 1 species
CCUACGGGUGGCAGCAGUCGAGAAUCAUUCACAAUGGCGGAAACCCUGAUGGUGCGACGCCGCGUGGGGGACUGUAGGUCUUCGGAUUGUAAACCCCUGUCAUGUGGGAGCAAAUUAAAAAGAUAGUACCACACGAGGAAGAGACGCUUACAUCUUUGCCAUCAGCCGCGGUAAUACAGAGGUCUCAAGCGUUGUCCGGAACCACUGGGCGUAAAGCGUGCGUAGGCUGUUUCGUAGGUAGUGUGUGAAAGGCGCGGGCUCAACCCGCGGACGGCACAUGAUACUGCGAGACUAGAGUAAUGGAGGGGGAACCGGAAUGUGCGGUGUAGCAGUGAAAUGCGGAGAUAUCGAGAGGAACACUCGUGGCGAAGGCGGGUUCCUGGACAUUAACUGACGCUGAGGCACGAAGGCCAGGGGAGCGAAAGGGAUUAGAUACCCUUGUAGUC